rnacentral:rRNA from 1 species
GAUGAACGCUGGCGGCGUGCCUAAUACAUGCAAGUAGAACGCUGAAGGAGGAGCUUGCUCUUUCCGGAUGAGUUGCGAACGGGUGAGUAACGCGUAGGUAACCUGCCUGGUAGCGGGGGAUAACUAUUGGAAACGAUAGCUAAUACCGCAUAACAGUAGAUAUUGCAUGAUAUUUGCUUGAAAGGGGCAAUUGCUCCACUACCAGAUGGACCUGCGUUGUAUUAGCUAGUUGGUGAGGUAACGGCUCACCAAGGCGACGAUACAUAGCCGACCUGAGAGGGUGAUCGGCCACACUGGGACUGAGACACGGCCCAGACUCCUACGGGAGGCAGCAGUAGGGAAUCUUCGGCAAUGGACGGAAGUCUGACCGAGCAACGCCGCGUGAGUGAAGAAGGUUUUCGGAUCGUAAAGCUCUGUUGUAAGAGAAGAACGAGUGUGAGAGUGGAAAGUUCACACUGUGACGGUAUCUUACCAGAAAAGGACGGCUAACUACGU